rnacentral:rRNA from 1 species
UGCGUAGGCGGUUUAUUAAGUCAGAUGUGAAAGCCCCGGGCUCAACCUGGGAACUGCAUUUGAUACUGGUAAACUAGAGUUUGGUAGAGGGUAGUGGAAUUCCAGGUGUAGCGGUGAAAUGCGUAGAGGUCUGGAGGAACACCAGUGGCGAAGGCGGCUACCUGGACCAAAACUGACGCUGAGGUACGAAAGCGUGGGGAGCAAACA